rnacentral:rRNA from 1 species
UACGUAGGGCGCAAGCGUUAUCCGGAAUUAUUGGGCGUAAAGAGCUCGUAGGCGGUUUGUCGCGUCUGCCGUGAAAGUCCGGGGCUCAACUCCGGGUCUGCGGUGGGUACGGGCAGACUAGAGUGAUGUAGGGGAGACUGGAAUUCCUGGUGUAGCGGUGAAAUGCGCAGAUAUCAGGAGGAACACCGGUGGCGAAGGCGGGAUCCUGGGCCAGUACUGACGCUGAGGAGCGAAAGCGUGGGGAGCAAACAGG